CUUGCUGGGGGUGGAGGUAGUCUGAAAGCGUAAGUGGCAAGCAAGAAAGGGAACCGGGAAUCAGCCCGGGAGCCCUCCUCCUUUUUGAGGACCACCCUCCUCUACUAAGACGCAUCAUUUAUCUUCCCCUCCCAGCGUGAGCUCUGGCAGGAGGUGGUGGCCUGGUUUCCCAGGCCCUGCUCCCAGGGCCUCCCAGCCUGUCUCCCAGGAGAUGCCCUUCUCAGCCGCAGGCCAGAGCCUGCCCAGCCUGCCUGGGGACCGACUCCAACACAGGCCUGGGAUGGUGCCUCUGCGAGUGAUCCCGCUGAGGGGUGGUGUUGCCUGCCUGUGCAUGAUUGCAUACUCCUGUGUAUAUCAGGAUUGUAUGAAGUCCACAUUGUUUUCUUCAUUUCAAGAACACAAGCUUUGGACUCUCGCAGAGCUGGGUCUGAAGCCUGACUCUAUUGGCCCACAGCCAUGUGACCUCAGGAAAAUUGCUUGCUGAAUUCCUUGAGCUCCCAUCUCCUCAUCCAUGAAAUGGGGUUUUUGGGAAGAGUAAAUGGGACAAUCCAGGCAACACCCCAGCAUUCCGGGCCUGAGACUGGGGAAACACUACUGCUGAGCCACCAAGCACUUCAAAGUUUACAAAACACCAGGACCCCUCAUGCUCCUCUGGGAAAGUUGGGGGCAGAGAGCAAGCAUUAUUGUUAUCAUUUUGUGCACCUGUCCCUCCAACCAUCAACAUAGCACCCAUCCAAUGACCAGCGACCCUGAGACAAGAGGACGGGGCCCCGAGCUGGAGUGAGGUAGGAAACUUACUGGCCUCCAGAAGUUUUCUGGCCUGGAGGGACUGGAGAAUGUAUCUCAUGCCAGAGGAUUGUUGCCUGACAGGACUGGAAGCCCAGUGAGACCGGAUCUUCUGAUUUUUUGAGAAAAGCUGGAAAUGUAGAUUUUUUUUUAAAAUGUCCUGAUCUUUUAUCUCUUAGAUGUUUGCAACCAACUUGACUAAAACAAACAAACUCCUGUGCUGGCUGCAUCCUGCCCAUGGAAUGUUUGAACCCUCUGGGAAUGAGGCUCAAGGUCAGGGGCAGAGCUGGGAUUCAGAGCUGGGAGUCCUGAGUCAGUGCCCCCUCACCAGGUCUGGAACAUGCAGAAUUGAUAGAUGUAGGUCAUUAAUUAUACAGUAAGGUCGACCUCCUGAGAAGCCACAUGGAGACCCCCAGGGACACUGCUUUAUUGGUGGAAGCCCAAGGAAAGAGGAGGAUGGAAUUUAGGACAGGCAGCCCCAUUCUCUGCCUGCUGAAGCCAUGCUGAGAAAUGAGAUGCCAAUGCCACCUAUGCUUCUUGUCUGCACACCUGUGCUGGUGUUUGCAGAGUUCCCAGGAGCAGGCUGGGGACCACCACAGGGAAUUACAGGAAUUCCUCCUUCCUUUCCCCUGGGAAUCUCUGACCACCAUGUGUGUGUGUCUAGGAGUCAGGUGAUCUCCAUGACCAGGGCAGGGUUGGAUCAGAGCCUAUAGACACCGUGGGACAACAACCUGGUUCAAUCCUCCAGUGGUAUGAAUAAGACUGGGGCCAGUUGCAUUUGGUCUCUGGGCCUCAGCUUUCCCAUCAUGUGGUAAGGUUGAUGUCCCAGCAAUAGAGAGGGAAAUGGCAGCCCAUGUCUCUGCCCAGACUGACACAGUAGACUCUACUCCUGGAAAGGGGGUCUUUGGUGGCCUGGGACAAGGGCUGAGUCCAUCCUCCAGCAGGGAAGAAUUCUAGAAGACAACUUGCCCAACUGCUUCCCUCCACGGGUGCCAACAAACAUUCAGUUGCCUCUAAUGCCUGUCCUGGGAGGCCACUUGAAUGCCCCUUGGCCAGUCCGUUCCUUUGCUGAGCUGCUGUGAUGAUCACAAACUUCUGUGUUGGGCAGAAACAUGAUUCCUGAUGGCUGAUGCCUGGCCGAGCCUGCACAUGUCUUCGGCUUGGCCUCCUUAUGGAAGGUAGCACCGUGGGAGUAAAAAUGUUCACCUCACUGUGAGGACUGAAUACAUAUAAACAUCCGUUGCACACCUGGCCCAUAGGUGUUGACCAGUGCCAGUCGCCUUCUCCUGGGGGACUGAACACCCCAAGCCCAGCCCUGGCCUUAGAUGAACUUCCCCGCAGGGUUCACUUGCCUCUUCCACACUUGCAUGAUCAGUGCUGAAUGGCAAAUGCUGGCUCCUGCCAUUAAUAGCAAGUGUUGACGGAGUCCUGACAGGCAGAGCUGGGCUGGGUCCCCUGCUCCCCAACCCCUGGGGUGGCCAUUUGGGAUGAAGCUUCCCAUGCAAAUGGCUGGCCUAGGGGCUGGUCAGGAAGAACCCCAUCUGAGAGGCUGCUCAGCCCUGCCCCACUCCUAAGGCCACUCACUGCCCACCAGCCUCCUGCUUACUCUCCUGAUUUUACCAUGGACACCCCUUUCCCUGCAUUGCUCAGGUGCCCACUCUUCCUUACCUGACUCAUUGCACAGCUGCCUUGCUAGUUUCUCUGUCCCUGUAGUCUUCCUCUACUCAGCCAGCUGGAUUGUCCUAAACUCAUAUAUGAGCUUGUCGCUUCCAGUUUAACACCCUGCAGUGGCCACCUGUCAUCCUCUAAGCUUUGGUCUGGCAUUCCUGAACCCUUAGUUUGUGCCUUGCUAUCCUCCCUUGACCCACCUCCUGAGGACCUCACACUGUGACUCCAACUUUCUGCACUCUUCCUUGCUAUCACAAUCUUCCACCCCUGAGUCUUUGCAUAUGCUGUGUAUCCUUCCUUCUGUUCAUCCCCUGUUUAACAUUUGAGGCCCGGAGUGCCAGGCCCUGCUCCACAUGCAGAGACACAAAAGUAAACAAGAUGACAAAGACCUUCCACCUUAGGGCUUGCAUUUCAGUGGGGGAGACAUAAAAUCAACUAAUCAGUAAAUUAAAGUAUGUCCGAUAGUGUUGAGGACAUGCUCAAAACAAAUCAAGGAGGAGGCUGGAAUUCUAAGCAGGGCAGCUGGGUGCACCUGGGUGUCAAGGGGCUGAAUCUGGGACACUCUAUCUGGACUUCCUGAAGGAGGUGUCUAUUAUCUCCGUGAAGGACGGGUAGAGGGUAGUUACUACACAGGGUGUAAGUAAGUGUCUCAGUAACAGAUUCCUCAUGGAGGCUGGAAGGUCAUCCAGUCCUGACCCAUUGGACACUAGCUGGGGUUUUGCAGGAAACAGCCUCACCCUAAGACUGAGCCUUGAACACAGACUGCUGGCCCAAGCACCUCACCACCAGGAACCCCUUGCCUCCAACAAGGCCCCCUUCACUUGAAUCAGGCCCUGCUGGGUGAGGCAGGUGGCGGGUCACUGUGUCUGGAGCCAUUCAGAGAGAACACACCAGGCAGGAGUAUGGCCAAGCAAAGGCCUGGGGGCCGGACCUAUGAGGAGGUGGGAGGACUUGGAGGAUGCUGGCCUAGGCUUUCCCUGGUGCUCCCCUGUCAGCUCUGGCCAGGGAAUGUGGUUUGUGGCCAACUUGUCACAGCCCACUCUGACUUUAUUUCUGAACUUAAUUUAUCCCAUGCGUCAUACUGACAACUCAGAAUUCUGCCCCAGGGCCCCUUGCCUGGCUCCACCAUAAUAGUACACUGCCUGUGCUUAGGUGAACUGGGCCCUGAGGUGCGUCUCAGCUGCCGAUUUGUGCUUGCAGCUUCUGGGGACAAGGUGGUUCAGCUGCUAUUUGCAGGAGGUCACUGGAGCUUGGGAAUUUGACCUAGAGUAGUUCCUUGUCCUUGGGUUCAGAGCAAGUGCACGGUUCCCAUUUUCCAGAUAUGGAAGGAGAGGUCCAAGGUUGAGUCUGUGGAAAACCCAGAACUACUGGGUCUCAGCUGGGGCCCUUUCCCACAUUUUACCCAGCUCUGGAUUUUGUCCACAGCCUCUUAACCAAGAGAAGAUGUUCCGUACUCCCCAGCAGUGUGAAAAGCGUCAGGAAUGUGGUCCCCUUAGGUCCUAAAGCCUGAUGUGAAAGUAGAUUUUCACUUAGAGAUAUGCAUAUUGGGGGCUGGGGGAGAGUGGUUGUCCUUGUCCUCAUUGAGUCCCUGGCAGGCACUCCAUGAUGGGCACAAACUCCCUCUCAGUUCCUGUGAUUGUCAGAUUCUCGUUCCUGUGACCAAAACUCCUGACAAUAACAACUUAAAGGAGGAAAGAUUUAUUUUGGCUCAUGGUUUCAAAGUUUUCAAAGCUUCAAGGUCUCUGGUUCCAUUGCUGUGGGUCCGACAUGAGGCAGAACAUCAUGGUGGAAAGGUGCUUUGGGAGAAAGCUCUCAGCUCCUGGCAGCAGGGAAGGGGAGAGAGACAGACAGACAGAGAGACAGACACAGAGAGAAAGAUAAAGUUCCCCAGGGCACACCUCUACCCAUGCCCCAUCUGCCUACAGUUUCCACCUCCCAGUAGUCCACUCAGCUACCCAUGGAAUCCACUAAUGAGGUCAGAGCCCUCAUGAUCCAAUCACUCCCAGAAGUCCCACAUCUAAACACUGCUGCACCGAGAACCAAGCCUUCGUCACAUGAGCCUUUGUGGGGCAUUCCAUAUCCAACAACAGUUCCUCAGGGAGUCACAUUACUGUGUGAAAUAAACAUGAAUCUAGUUUCAGAGGGACACACAAAAGAAAUCACAUCUGUGGAAAAAUUCUUGGGAAAUACAACCAAAUGCAGCCACCUCUCCGGAGCAAAGACUGAGUUCUUCAUUGUAGUGGGCAGGCCAUCAGAGGCUACAACAGCCCAGGUGACAGCACCACGUGUAGGGUCUGAAUCUGACUAGGCCACUGAUUCAUUCAUUCAUCUGUUUGUUCCACAAUCACCCAUUUAGCUCAUGCUAGUGUUGGGCUCUGGGCCAGGCAGGGGUGUAGUGCUGAGUAAAGAGAGUGUCCCUGUCAUCGUGGAGGUUCUGGACCCGUGUAGACACAGCGUUGUGGAUUGAAGUACUUUGAAGAAAAAUGAAGUAGAGUGGGGUUACUGAGGCUAGAUGGUCAGCAAAGACUUUCUGAGAGGGGAUCUGUGAGCAGAGGCCCAAGUGGAGGGAGGGAGCCCAAGAAUAUGCAGGAAGAGUUUCCAGGCACAGGAAGCAGCCAGUGCAAAGCCCCACGUCAGUACAUUGGUCACCUCCACCUGGGAUGAGGAACCCCUGCUCUCCCCACCUUGACCCCUGAAACCCUAUCACCAGAGGGAACAGAGCGUGGGCAGCUUGAAGCCUGUUGAAAAGAUCUACAGCUCUCCACGGAGCCCCCUUCUGCUUCGAGGCUUGAUUUUCCUAGUGUGUGUCACUCACGCCACCAGGGGUGAACAGGGAGGUUUGAUGAGGGUUGCAGAUAAACAUCUCCUUAUUUUCACAGUAAUGCAUUCAUUUUUAAAUGAAUUUAUUGCAAAAAAAAAUAAAAAAUAACAUGCACACCAAACCUGGUAUUAUUGUCAAGGACACGUGGGGAAAAGGCUUUGUUUAUUUCAAUUCAAAUAGAAUAUACACACAUACAGAAGGUCGGCCAUUGUUGAACCUUGGAGGAGGCUAUCUGUAGGGUAGCUUCAUUUUUAUAUGCUUUCAAUUUUUCUACAUAAUUAAGACGUUUCAGGGUAUGAAGUUGGUUGGGGAAAAUAAAAAUUGAGGAGAUGCCCCCUUGAAUCAAUUGAUUUUCCCCCUUGACUGUCUUUUCUUUUUUAAGAAAAUUAAAAAUGGUUCCUUCUUUUUUCUGCUCUUGGUAGUAGAGCACAGUGGUUAAAGGUGCACCCUUUGGAGCCUGAUAAUCAUGUAUGGCUCCUGGCUGAGCCUUGAACCACGUCCCUAACCUGUUUCAAUUUCUUCAUCUAAAACCUGGAGAUGAUGACAGUACCCACUACACUGGCAGGUUGUGGGGAGACACGGGGAAGUCAUCAGAAUGGUGCCCAUACAAGGCAGGUGCUCCACAAUUCAGACUGUGCUGUGAUUGGCCCAUCCUUGGAGAACUGGCAGCAGGGUCAUGGAUUUGGGCCAUGGCAGAAAACCACAUGGCAGCCACGGAAGGCUUUGCACUGUGAAGGGGCUUGCCUCCUGCCUCUUUACCUACACACACACACACACACACACACACAUACACACACACACCAGGCAACUCUACAAAGACUGCAUUUUAGUUAAUCAAUCAGAUUUAUUACUACCUGUAUUGAGCUGUUCAUUUUUUAUUUCAAUUUUUAAAAUUUAAUAACAUCGUUUUGUUUUCACUGUUCAUUUUUAAGAUUAAAGUCCAUUUGAGGUAAGUCAUGCUGAUUUUCCAUUUGCAGAAAUAACAAAACACUUUCUUUAAAAAACAAGGUCUAAGAAGCAAGCGGAUCUCUGAAAUAUCUUUGCCAUGUUUCUGUAAAUCUAAAACUAUUCUAAGACAGAAAGUUUAUUUAAAAAAAAAAAGAAACCUAGGCUCAUUUUUUUUAAAAGUGUGAAUAGAAAAAGAGAAGGAAAAAAAAAGCAAGUUGAUUGAGGGGCAAGUAUCAAAUAUAUACUGACUGUGCUCAGUGGCAGGCAUGAAUGGGGGAAAACUGCUUUUCGGGGACUGUGGUGGAGCGUGUUCACAGGAUACCUUGGGAGGCAGGAAAGGAGCAGGAGGAAUUAGAGGUGACAUAUCCCUCCUUUUAUGGCGGGUACCAGGGGUUGAACUCGGGCACUUGACUUCUGAGCCACAUCCCCAGUCCUAUUUUUUUGUAUUUUAUUAGAGGCAGGAUUUCACUGAGUCGCUUAGCGCCUUGCUUUUUGCUGAGGCUGGCUUUGAACUUGUAAUCCUCCUGUCUCAGCCUCCCCAGCCACUGGGAUUACAGGUGUGCACCACUGUGUCCGGAGACUUACCCCUUUGAGGGUGGGAACAGCCUUGUGGGGUUCAAUGACAGGCAGAGGAAUAGUGGAACAAACUGCCAGACUAGCAGCAAGCGGAAGCUUCACCUGCAGGCGGGGGGUGCUGGACCCUAGGCAGCCAGGCUGGAGCCAGGGACAAACCCCCAGCCUCCCCUCCCUCUGAGUCCUGCUGCUGCCCCAACUGCAGCACCAUCCAGAAGCCAGCAGCCAAGGAGCUCAUGUGAUGCAGUCCCUGGAGCACAGAGAAGGACAGGGUGUUGCAGAGGCAACAGCAACUUCUGCGGGUGGUUCUCUGCAGAAGCUCAGCAUAUUUGUGGGAGGAGCCUGGAAGUGCAGGUGUCCACAUGCGCAUGUGCAUACACCCCCCCUCCCCCUGUGACACACACACACACACACACACACACACACACACACACACACACACACACACACACACACACAUACACACACACACCCCUCCCCGCCUCUCCAUGUGAAAUGCCUACCGUGCAGUAUGCCACUUUCUCUCCUGAGCCUCAGUUUCCUCAUCUGCCCCCUGGGGCAGCCAGGGUUCCCUCUUGGGUGGGCAGAGCAGCUGAAGAGACUCCAGCAGGCUUUGUGAGCCCUGGGUACACAAUAGGCUUUAGUGUCAGACAGUACCCUCUGUCCUUUCCGAUAAAGGACAGAGGCCCUUCCGACUCCUCAUGGCCAUCUUGGGCUGUCACCUUCCACCGCCUCUCUCCUCAGCCACUUUGGGGGCAGUAAUGCCCCAGCACUCGUGGUUCUAUCACCAGAUUGCCCCCACCCGGCCUCCUGCUUGGGAUUAUAGGUGGCUCCUUGCCGUCUCAAAUCGCAGCUGCCUCUUCAAGGUACAGAUAGUAGCCAAGGUCCAGGGAGGGGAGCCACUAGUCCCAAGCCCUACAAGUGAGCUGUCACUCAGUGGGACUGACCUGGGCCUGGUUGGCCAGGGUGUUGGCACAGAGGCCUUUUCUCUGGAAACUGGCCUGAUUUUCAGCCCUGAAGGCCCCCCAGGAGGUGAGAGAAUCCUGGUCAAGGCUUCUCGUUGUCUAUAAUUUUCCAGCCUAAUUGAACACCUGCAAAUCCAUUUGCUACCUAAUGAUACAGUGGGAGCACCAGGGGAUUUUCAGAGGGAAAAAAAAAAUCAUUCAAAUUCAAGGAAUGAAUAACAAAGCCCCGCAACACAGCCAGGCCUCUGGGAGUUCUAGGAUUUCAGCUCCCAUCUAGCUUUAUCGGGUCACGCCCACUCUGUCUCCUCAUCUGUAUAAAGGAUUAAUGGUUCCUCUCUGCUCUCCCCAUCCUGCCAGGCCAGAAGAUGAGAAAACGCCUGGUCUCUGCCAUUCUUCUCUCUCUCCUCAUCUUCUUACAACCCCACCAUGCUCCAGCCACAUUGAACUUCAUGUCACUCCCAAAUACUUCACAUAAGAUGGGGAAGGUGCAGCAAUUAGAUUGUGCUGUGUAAUAAACUACCUCCCCAACAUAGAUGUUCGUUUAGAACAAUAAGCAUUUACAGGCUAGUGGGGCAGCUCUUAUCCCCCUGUGUUUAUUGGUGCACCUGAGUCAGGACUUCCCUUUUGUGCCUGAUUGAUUACAAAAUUGAUUGUAAUCAGGUGUGGUGGCUCACGCCUGUAAUCCCAGUGACUCAGGAGGCUAAGGCAGGAGGAUAGCAAGUUGGAGGCCAGCCUCACAACUUAGUGAGACUCUAU